AACUUUCGACAAUGGAUCUCUUGGUUCCCGCAUCGAUGAAGAACGCAGCGAAAUGCGAUAAGUAGUGUGAAUUGCAGAAUUCAGUGAAUCAUCGAAUCUUUGAACGCACAUUGCGCCCUCUGGUAUUCCGGGGGGCAUGCCUGUCCGAGCGUCGUCAAACACCUCCUCGCGGCGUCUUCUCCACGAAGGCGCCGACGGUCAUGGCGGAGGAUGCGUCCCCUGCGGCGCUUCCCCGCUCGAAGCUAUCUGGCGGAGAGCCCUGGUCCUGGCGCCCGACGUAGUGCGUUUCUCGUUAAACACUCGUCCUCGAGCCUCUGGCCAGUUAUCCAGCCGUAUCAAGAACACUUUUCAUGUUGACCUCGGAUCAGGUAGGGAUACCCGCUGAACUUAAGCAUAUCAAUAAGCGGAGGCU
rnacentral:misc_RNA from 1 species